UACAGAGGUCCCGAGCGUUGUUCGGAUUCACUGGGCGUAAAGGGUGCGUAGGUGGUGAGGUAAGUCGGAUGUGAAAGCUCGGAGCUCAACUCCGAAAUGGCAUUGGAAACUACCUUGCUCGAGGGUUGGAGGGGGGACUGGAAUACUUGGUGUAGCAGUGAAAUGCGUAGAUAUCAAGUGGAACACCAGUGGCGAAGGCGAGUCCCUGGACAACUCCUGACACUGAGGCACGAAAGCUAGGGGGAGCAAACAGG
rnacentral:rRNA from 1 species